UACGUAGGUGGCAAGCGUUGUCCGGAUUUACUGGGCGUAAAGAGCGCGCAGGCGGUCGGAUAAGUCGAAUGUGAAAGCCCCCGGCUCAACUGGGGAGGGUCAUUCGAUACUGUUCGACUCGAAGGCAGGAGAGGGAAGUGGAAUUCCCGGUGUAGUGGUGAAAGUGCGUAGAUAUCGGGAGGAACACCAGUGGCGAAGGCGACUUCCUGGCCUGUUCUUGACGCUGAGGCGCGAAAGCUAGGGGAGCAAACGGGG
rnacentral:rRNA from 1 species